UUACCUCAAGCCCGCAGCGGAAGUUGGUCGAGGUAAUCUGGAUCUGGAUCUGGAUCUGGAUCCCUGAAGGUAGCUCUGCGAGGCCUGGAUCUGCAAGCCCUCUACUUCGCACGCACGUCGAGCUUCGUAGGAAGGUUGGACGAUAUCUGUAUUUUGCAAAACCACUUUUUGCAAAAAGGACCCUAGAAGAAAUACUUUUCUUUUCUUCUCCUUUUUCUUCUUCCUUCUCUCCCGUUUCCAACCCGAGAGCUUCAAUUUUGGACUGAUCGCAGAGAAGAAGAGAGGAGA
rnacentral:lncRNA from 1 species